rnacentral:sRNA from 1 species
GGUUAAGUUUUGAUAUCAAUCUUUAUCUUCAGUUCCAAUAUCACCAAAAAAAAAAAAAACGUAAAAACCAGAGACAAUCCGAUAAGACUUCUUCAACGAAAGACAACAAGGUUCUUAUCUUUUUCGGAUUCGGGACUAAUUAAACACACAAAUAGUUUGCCCUUUUAACAAAUAAACACUAUUCCGCUAUGGGUUACUCUUUUUUUUGUGUUCAAGGAUUCUUUUAAGAGAAUAUUACAUUCUAUGGCACUUUUAGAAAAGUAUGUACGAAUUUAGACACUUUGAAAAGAUAAGGCACUUUGUCAAACCAAAUUGUCCAAUUUACCCUUUUUAACUGCAAACUCAUUUUCUUUUUCAUAUCUUCUCAGCGUUUCUCCAUCGUUUUUAUUUCUCUAUUUCCAAAACCAAAAUCAAAUCUUUUACUAAAAAUCAAAGCUCAAAAACGAGGGCUUUAUCUUUUAAUCUCCGACAUAUUUGCUUUGAUUCCUUGCGAUGAUUGUUUUUGAAAAGCUAACCAAGAUAUGAUGGCGUUAUUGGUGGUGGCGGUGGCGGUGGCGGAGGGAGCUUUAUACCUUAUUCGUCGCUUUGUUUGGUGUCUCUCUGCUCCUAAUUACUUUGGUAUCUCUGAUCUACAAAACUAGAAAGUUCUUAAUCUUAUUCCACAUCAGAUCUAUAAAUUUGAGAGUAUUGUUUCUGAUUGAUUUGAUUUCCUGAGAGUAAUCACUUCUAAUUCAAAGUCAAGAUGAAGAAAGAAACGAGAGGUUGAGACAUGAUGAAAAUCAAAGUAACUUUUGUGAGUUUAUGACGUUAUACAAUCGAUGUAUAUUUGUUGAAUUUCUAUUGAAUAAAAAUUUGUAAUUUAUGGCAAGGGACACAUCCUUCUCUCUUCUACCUAUUACAAAUGAUUAAUAUGGACGUAUCAAAGUAAACUAAUGGUCUUCAUUGAGAGUGUAAUACAAAUAAGAUCUUCGUUACAUUCUUUAUAAAAGCUAUGUAACUGACAUUGUCCUACUGAUGGAAUUGUUUAUACACAAGUGAAUAAAUGGUCAAAGAAAAAUGGACAAUGUACUUUGGAUUGGCGUUUAUUGGUCAUGUAUAGACUUGUUUAUUGGUAUAAAAAUACCAUGUGAAUCAUUAGAUAACCAUAUGGACUAGACUUCUUGGACUGUCAUCAAUGGAUAACAACUAUGUCUUUGAUUUGCUGUGAAUGUGUUUAUAGCUCGGUAAAUUAGCACUUUAUUUUGUUUGCGCAUUCUACAAUGAUACAUCAUAUGGUCAUAACUCUAACCAUUUACAAGAAAAUUGUAAUUGAUCCCUACAACUAUAUGGUCAACAUAGAAUGGUCGCUAGUGGAUGGCUACUUGUAAAGGGUUAGAAUAUAAACCCAAAGCAUCGUAAUGGACAUAGUUUUUGAAAUUGGUGAUUAUUACUUAUGCUUUCUAUAGAAUUUGUGUAUUUUUGAUUCUACAGCGGUGUAAACAUGGUUGUAUGGACUUGGGGUGAUGGAUAGGAAUUAUUGUAUAUUUGACAGGGGGAGUCGUUAUAUAUUUUAGUAAACAUGAGAUAUUAGGUAUCCUAGGUUUCAACUAAGUAUCUGAUUACAAACUUGCUUUUUGGUUAAUUAACAGAAAAUGAAAGCAAUACACAAGAGGAACAUAAUCACUUAAGAUGAUUGUAGUUUUACAAAUAUAUUCGUGUAGAAUUUGAUUAUAUGAGCCUUGAAUGAAUAAAAGCAGACUUAUACAUUAACUUUGGUGUAGAAUGGAUAUGCUUAGUAAACAAGUUUCCGUAUGAACACAUUUAAAAUGGACACAUUAUUAUAGAUUUGAUAAGAAUAACAAAUGCAGAGAAAGGAUUACGUGAAGGAAAGAAUGUUAAUAAGAUUUUGGGUUUUAGUUGGUAUGGUUUUGUCUUUAUAUGAAAGCAUGUUUGAUGGGUCUCGUUCUUUUGUGUAAGUAAUGUAUUGUUAUUGUAGAUAUUGUGUUGAAUAAGAAAAAGACGCAUGAUUUGUUUUGACUAAGUUGUGAUUAUUGCAUCACCAUGACACGCUUUUUCAUUCGAAAGAAAAUUGAUGAAAGCUCUACACGUGAAUUAUUUGUGUUCAAGUGUUUGUCAUGUUUCACCAUUACUCCACAUGUUAAAGUCUAAUUGGACAAGUUAUAAUGGACACAAACUAUCAUUGACUAAUUGGGUUUUGAGUGUUGCUAUUUGAAAGCAAUGUCUACAUAUUGUUCUUGGGGCUUGGAGACCUAUAGGAUUAUUAGUUUAUAUAUAAUGAAAUCGUGUUGGAUGCUUUGAUAGUUUAUCUCCAUAAAAACUUGUCCAACAAGAUGUGACCAUGUGGAAAUAAUUUAUUCUCAUGUGCGAAGUAAAGUGCUCUUAGCUUAGAGGUUAAACGAAACAUCAAUUUAUCAAGCUAGAAUCAAAUGGUACCAAACAAGUUGAUCAUAUGGAUAUGAAAUUCAAUACUGGAAUUUGCCAAUCUGGUGCUCCAUAGAAAAGAACAGAGUAACGAGGACCUCGCAUCUCUGUAACCCUGUAAUAUCGAGGUUACUCCAAACAAUUUUUGUUCUCACGGAAUCUCUUCCAUGUACGAUGCCAUUUCUUCUUCUUUUUCAAGAGAGAGUUCGAAUUCUCAGAUCGAAUUUCAAAACCCAAAUUAAGUAAGUCGAGAAACGUCCCACGUUAUGUUAUCACCGCCUCUCUCGUCGCCUUCUUGCAACAGAUCUGAAACAAAGGAGAGUAAGGAAAGAGGAACUUUUGAUCUGCAACCGAUCUCAUCGUCUUUACAAACACAAUUUCGCUAAUAUGAA